rnacentral:rRNA from 1 species
UGGCCGCGGGAUUCGAUUAAGCCAUGCGAGUCGAACGAGUUUAGGCUCGUGGCGUACGGCUCAGUAACACGUGGAUAAUCUACCCUUAGGACCGGGAUAACCCUGGGAAACUGGGGAUAAUACUGGAUAGGCAACUAUUCCUGUAAUGGUUUUUUGUUUAAAUGUUUUUUCGCCUAAGGAUGAGUCUGCGGCCGAUUAGGUAGUUGGUUAGGUAAUGGCUUACCAAGCCGUUGAUCGGUACGGGUUGUGAGAGCAAGAGCCCGGAGAUGGAACCUGAGACAAGGUUCCAGGCCCUACGGGGUGCAGCAGGCGCGAAACCUCCGCAAUGUGAGAAAUCGCGACGGGGGGAUCCCAAGUGCCAUUCUUAACGGGAUGGCUUUUCAUUAGUGUAAAGAGCUUUUGGAAUAAGAGCUGGGCAAGACCGGUGCCAGCCGCCGCGGUAACACCGGCAGCUCUAGUGGUAACAAUUUUUAUUGGGCCUAAAGCGUCCGUAGCCGGUUUAAUAAGUCUCUGGUGAAAUCCUGCAGCUUCACUGUGGGAAUUGCUGGAGAUACGAUUACACUUGAGACCGGGAGAUGUUAGAGGAACACCCAGGGUAGAGGUGAAUUUCUCUACUCCUGGGAGCACAUCCCGGUGCGAAGGCGCCUAAACGAACCGGUCGAUAUGCUGCGAACCAAAGCUUAGCGGCCCGACCUGAAAACUUAAAUACACCUGCCCCUACCAGGACCAAGACGCCACUAUAGGCCAUUUGCCCUCAGUUUUCACCCCGUUUCACAAGCGAUAAUGAAGCUCUAUGUAAUCCGGCCAGACUACGGACGUACUUACGGCAAAUAGCCACAAAAUAUGCGCUAACUCGAAGACGCAUUAAUUCA